rnacentral:rRNA from 1 species
GCAAGACGGGGAGAGAAAAAAGUGGGGAAGUAACCUUUGGGUUUCGGGAACAAACCCAGGGGAAACUUGGGCUAAUAACCGGAUAAGUUCCCCNGCAAGGAGAAAGAUUUAUUCGCCGGAAGGGGAUGGCCCGCGUCUGAUUAGCUUGUUGGUGAGGUAACGGCUCACCAAGGCGACGAUCAGUAGCUGGUCUGAGAGGAUGAUCAGCCUCACUGGGACUGAGACACGGCCCAGACUCCUACGGGAGGCAGCAGUAGGGAAUAUUGGACAAUGGGCGCAAGCCUGAUCCAGCCAUGCCGCGUGAGUGAUGAAGGCCUUAGGGUUGUAAAGCUCUUUCGGCGGGGAAGAUAAUGACGGUACCCGCAGAAGAAGCCC